UUGAUUAAAGUCUUUUGAGGAUCCUUCGGAACGGGAGACAGUGAGACAGAUGAAACCGUUCCCAGGGAGGCCUGGUGCGAAAUCCUUGGAUGUUCCCUCUAAUGGGAUAUUCAAGUAUGCCUAUUGGAAACCUUGGUCAGCUAUUGUGGGACAUCUGAGCCAUUCCUGUAAAGGUUAAAAAAAAUGUAACUUUCUUACUUUAUACCGCAUUGGAUUACAAACGCCAACCAGAGAUUGAAUGAUUGUUUCUUUCCCUUCAAGUACGAACUGAACUGUGAGACUUUUUGCCAUAAAUAUACAUAAAUAUAUAAUAUGGUGCUGCAUAAAUAUGACAAAAUAAAUAUGCUCUGCUAAUGGGACUAAAAGUUAGCUCAUGGACACUUUAUGAUACAGAGUUGCAUUUUAUUUAUUGGAGCCGUUUUGUAACCACCGCUUUAAAAUUCUAUGGUUAGGAUGUUGCUGUACAUAUUUAUGUAUAUAAUUAUUCUGAUAAUUGUGUCAUUUUCUGCUCAGCUUGCCUGCUGAAGUUUUAUAAUUAUAAGUAAAUAGCCUGGUGCUGGAAAA